rnacentral:lncRNA from 1 species
CAACCAUUCAAUACCAGAAUAGACAAGGUAACAGAUAAUUUCAUUUCCAUUUCAUUGGUGAAGUACUCAUUACAAAGCCUUAAAGGCCAAAAAACAAAAAGAUAAAGAAGAAAAAAGGAAAAGAGGCUCUAAGGAAGCCCAGUUUCUUCCGAUUUCGAGCUCUCGGUUCCAGGCCCCGCUAUGGAUUGUCUCAAAUUUUUGACUUCCUCUUCUAGCUCCAUCUUUUUCAGUAGCAUAUCCUAAAACAUCCGGUGGAAUCGCCAGCGCUCGUCCUCCAACUCUCGAAGCCUCCUCCUCAAGACCUCAGACUCCACCUCGGCAUCCUUGACUGCCUGUUGCUCGUGGACUAGCUAAACUUUCAGCCAUCAUACUUCGGCUUCCUCCCAUCCAAGGGCUACGGAUAGUUCCGCCAUAGUCCCCCUCAAGGAGCAAAGCUCAUCAGAACCUUGUGCAGGGACAAGCUGGACUCUUUCGGACAACCACCUUUGAAGGUGGGCAACUUCGUCAGUCGCCGUCUAGAGCCUCCUUCGGUA